GGAAAGCUUCUGACGUUCAGAUUUGUGAAGCUGCCUACAUGGGAAAAGCCUGGAAGGAACAUCCCCAUGACUACCAAAUCCAGCCUGAGCUGGGCAGAGGAAGCCUUCUCACUGCUAGAAAGGUGCAGAUGUGGGUUUCUGGAAUAAUAUAUACGGUCUCUCUCUGUGCCCUUUCUGAGGUUCUAAAUCUAGCUGAAACAGUAGGAUCGAGAGACAGAAGAGAUCCUGGGGACUGCCGUGACCUGAACGGGUUUUAUUUUUUUGCUGUGAUAAUAAUUGUUUACAUGGCAAAAUAUGAGGAAGCACAGUGUGUUCAGAAGCAUAUAAAAAUCACUCUAAGUGGACUCCAUGUUGAAGCCCCACCGCAAGUACCCAACAUCCCAGCAGAGGACUCAGGGACUGAUAACAUCUUGCAGUCACCACACUGGGCUCAGGGAAGGCUGAACCCAGAAGGAUGCAGUGAUGGUGAGCACGGCACCAGAAAAAAGAGGAAUGUAUCAAGAAUAUAUAACAAUUUUGACUAUACUAUUGAUGAAGCUAUUCUGUAUUAAUUAGAUAACUUGAACUACUAAGCUGUCAAAACAAUAAUUAGUUCAUUUUUAGCUGUAUAUUUUGAGCUCCCUUUUGCCUACAAGAGGGUUGCGAGUGGAACAGCCAUAGCAAAAAAUCUGCAAGUUUUAUACUUCUAGUUGCUUUUCUCACCCAGUAGAUCAUGCUCUGACUCAGCCCCCUCUUCAUGCCAGGACUGCUGGCAAGAAAGAAAACCCUCAAUAUAGUAACUUAAAGAGCCAAAAGCCCAUAAGACAUGAAUCUGAAAACAGCAGAUGAAUGUGGAGUUUUGCAAACAAAAAGCAGCUCAUUCCAGUUAGACUGUUUCUUAGCCACAGAUGUCAAUGCCAGCCCUUCUUUAUGUGAAGGGUCUAAAAACUCUGAUCUCUCAGUAAUCCCUUUGGGAUCUCAUCCUUUCAGUGGUCCUUGGUUUUACAGUCAGGAGGCAAAGUAACGUUUUCCAUGUUGUCUAACACCUGAAUAAAAUUGGGGUUAUUUCUGGUACUUUUUUUUUC
rnacentral:lncRNA from 1 species